GGAGUGUUGGCUCAAUUGGCACAGCAGCGGUCUUGAAAACCGCCAUUCCGAAAGGAUAUCUGAGUUCGAAUCUCAGGCACUCCG
rnacentral:tRNA from 1 species